rnacentral:rRNA from 1 species
GACGAACGCUGGCGGCGUGCUUAACACAUGCAAGUCGAACGGUGAAGCGCCUUCCUUUUUGGUGGGUGUGGAUGAGUGGCGAACGGGUGAGUAACACGUGAGUAACCUGCCCCCUUCUUCUGGAUAACCGCAUGAAAGUGUGGCUAAUACGGGAUAUUCUGGGUCUGUCGCAUGAUGGGUCUGGGAAAGAUAUUGUUUCGGUGGGGGAUGGGCUCGCGGCCUAUCAGCUUGUUGGUGGGGUGAUGGCCUACCAAGGCGGUGACGGGUAGCCGGCCUGGGAGGGUGGACGGUCUCACUGGGACUGGGACACGGCCCGGACUCCUACGGGAGGCAGCAGUGUGGGAUAUUGCACAAUGGGCGCAAGCCUGAUGCAGCGACGCCGCGUGAGGGAUGGAGGCCUUCGGGUUGUGAACCUCUUUCGCCAGUGAAGCAGGCCUGCCUCGUUUGUGGGUGGGUUGACGGUAGCUGGAAAAGAAGCGCCGGCUAACUACGUG